AACGAACGUUAGCGGCGCGCUUAACACAUGCAAGUCGCACGAGAAAGGGCUUCGGCCCCGGUACAGUGGCGCACGGGUGAGUAACACGUGGGUAAUCUUCCCUCUGGCGGGGGAUAACCUUCCGAAAGGAGGGCUAAUACCGCAUAAGACCACGACUUCGAAAGGAGACGAGGUUAAAGCUGGCCUCUAUACAUAAGCUAGCACCAGAGGAUGAGCCCGCGGCCCAUCAGGUAGUUGGUAGGGUAACGGCCUACCAAGCCUAAGACGGGUAGCUGGUCUGAGAGGAUGAUCAGCCACACUGGAACUGAGACACGGUCCAGACUCCUACGGGAGGCAGCAGUGGGGAAUCUUGCGCAAUGGACGAAAGUCUGACGCAGCGACCGCCGCCGUGGGUGAUGAAGGCCUUCGGGUUGUAAAGCCCUGUGGGGAGAGACCAAUAAGUUG
rnacentral:rRNA from 1 species